CUGCUGGUAAAGGUCAUUACGUAUUACUUUACUUACCGGAGGAAAAGAAACCAACAGGGAUUGCCCCAGUAACGGCGAGUGAAGCGGUAACAGCUCAAAUUUGAAAUCUGGCCUCCGGGUCCGAGUUGUAAUUUGUAGAGGAUGCUUUGGGCGCGGGCCUUCCGAGUUCCCUGGAACGGGACGCCAUAGAGGGUGAGAGCCCCGUCUGGUUGGACACCAAGCCUCUGUAAAGCUCCUUCGACGAGUCGAGUAGUUUGGGAAUGCUGCUCUAAAUGGGAGGUAUAUGUCUUCUAAAGCUAAAUAUUGGCCAGAGACCGAUAGCGCACAAGUAGAGUGAUCGAAAGAUGAAAAGCACUUUGAAAAGAGAGUUAAAUAGCACGUGAAAUUGUUGAAAGGGAAGCGAUUAUGACCAGACUUGGGCUUGGUUGAUCAUCCGGCGUUCUCGCCGGUGCACUCUUCCGGCCCAGGCCAGCAUCAGUUCGCUGCGGGGGAUAAAGGCGUCGGGAAUGUGGCUCCCUCGGGAGUGUUAUAGCCCUUCGUGCAAUGCCCUGCGGUGGACUGAGGACCGCGCUUUAUGCAAGGAUGCUGGCGUAAUGGUCAUCAUCGACCCGUCUUGAAACACGGACCAAGGAGUCGUCUUCGUAUGCGAGUGUUCGGGUGUCAAACCCCUACGCGUAAUGAAAGUGAACGCAGGUGAGAGCUUCGGCGCAUCACCGACCGAUCCUGAUGUUCUCGGAUGGAUUUGAGUAAGAGCAUACGGAGCCGGACCCGAAAGAAGGUGAACUAUGCCUGUAUAGGGUGAAGCCAGAGGAAACUCUGGUGGAGGCUCGCAGCGGUUCUGACGUGCAAAUCGAUCGUCAAAUAUGGGCAUGGGGGCGAAAGACUAAUCGAACCUUCUAGUAGCUGGUUUCCGCCGAAGUUUCCCUCAGGAUAGCAGUGUUGAUCUCAGUUUUAUGAGGUAAAGCGAAUGAUUAGGGACUCGGGGG
rnacentral:rRNA from 1 species